UACAGAGGUCUCAAGCGUUGUUCGGAUUCAUUGGGCGUAAAGGGUGCGUAGGCGGCGCGGUAAGUCGGGUGUGAAAUCUUGGAGCUUAACUCCGAAACUGCAUUCGAUACUGCCGUGCUUGAGGACUGGAGAGGAGAUUGGAAUUCAUGGUGUAGCAGUGAAAUGCGUAGAGAUCAUGAGGAAGACCAGUGGCGAAGGCGGGUCUCUGGACAGUUCCUGACACUGAGGCACGAAGGCCAGGGGAGCAAACGGG
rnacentral:rRNA from 1 species